rnacentral:rRNA from 1 species
UUACUGGGCGUAAAGCGGGCGCAGACGGUUACUUAAGCAGGAUGUGAAAUCCCCGGGCUCAACCUGGGAAUUGCGUUCUGAACUGGGUGGCUAGAGUGUGUCAGAGGGGGGUAGAAUUCCACGUGUAGCAGUGAAAUGCGUAGAGAUGUGGAGGAAUACCGAUGGCGAAGGCAGCCCCCUGGGAUAGCACUGACGUUCAUGCCCGAAAGCGUGGGUAGCAAACAGGAUUAGAUACCCUGGUAGUCCACGCCCUAAACGAUGUCGAUUAGCUGUUGGGCAACUUGAUUGCUUGGUAGCGAAGCUAACGCGUGAAAUCGACCGCCUGGGGAGUACGGUCGCAAGAUUAAAACUCAAAGGAAUUGACGGGGACCCGCACAAGCGGUGGAUGAUGUGGAUUAAUUCGAUGCAACGCGAAGAACCUUACCUGGUCUUGACAUGUACGGAACCUUCCGGAGACGGAAGGGUGCCUUCGGGAGCCGUAACACAGGUGCUGCAUGGCUGUCGUCAGCUCGUGUCGUGA